rnacentral:misc_RNA from 1 species
AUUCAAGAACAAAAUGCAUAUAACUUAUUGGCAAAAAAAGAUAACCAAAUGGUGUAAAAUGUUGGAAUUUGUAAAAUCUAUUGAGGAGCUUCCACAUAUAUCAACUCCACAUUUUCCUUUUCAUUCUUUGGACACUCUCUCCACACAAACAUAUAUAUUUACUAACCACAACUCAGAGAGAGGAUAAUAAUUUCUCUCUUUCUUGCCA